GAAAGUUUGCUCUUUUAGUAUUUGUCCAGCAGGUCUUCAGAAACUAAAGGCCGAC
rnacentral:snRNA from 1 species